rnacentral:rRNA from 1 species
CCUACGGGGGGCAGCAGUGGGGGAUAUUGCACAAUGGGGGGAACCCUGAUGCAGCGACGCCGCGUGGGUGAAGGAGCGUUUCGGCGCGUAAAGCCCUAUCGGCAGGGAAGAAGGAGGACGGUACCUGACUAAGAAGCCCCGGCUAACUACGUGCCAGCAGCCGCGGUAAUACGUAGGGGGCAAGCGUUAUCCGGAUUUACUGGGUGUAAAGGGGGCGCAGACGGCUGGGCAAGCCAGGAGUGAAAGCCGGGGGCCAAACCGCAGGACUGCACUUGGAACUGCCAGGCGGGAGUACAGGAGGGGCAGGAGGAAUUCGGGGUGUAGCGGUGAAAUGCUUAGAUGUCACGAAGAACGACGAUUGCGAGGGUAGCUUACUAAACUGCCACUGACAUGGAUGCUCGAAAGUGUGGGUAUCAAACAGGAUUAGAUACCCGGGGAGUC